CGGGCUUGAAAUGCAGAGGAAUGACGAGGAAACUUGUCCGCCAGCAAUGGUCUCUGUGU
rnacentral:rRNA from 1 species